rnacentral:rRNA from 1 species
GCCAGACUCCUACGGGAGGCAGCAGUGGGGAAUAUUGCACAAUGGGGGAAACCCUGAUGCAGCAACGCCGCGUGAAGGAAGACGGUUUUCGGAUUGUAAACUUCUGUUCUUAGUGAAGAAGAAUGACGGUAGCUAAGGAGCAAGCCACGGCUAACUACGUGCCAGCAGCCGCGGUAAUACGUAGGUGGCAAGCGUUGUCCGGAUUUACUGGGUGUAAAGGGCGUGCAGCCGGAGAGACAAGUCAGAUGUGAAAUCCACGGGCUCAACCCGUGAACUGCAUUUGAAACUGUUUCCCUUGAGUGUCGGAGAGGUAAUCGGAAUUCCUUGUGUAGCGGUGAAAUGCGUAGAUAUAAGGAAGAACACCAGUGGCGAAGGCGGAUUACUGGACGAUAACUGACGGUGAGGCGCGAAAGCGUGGGGAGCAAACAGGAUUAGAUACCCCUGUAAAG